GCUUAUCCAAGUUUUUAAAAUAUUUUAGAUCAAAAAAUUACUUUUCGCACAAGAACCAAACAUUUAAGCCGAAGAAUCUCAGGCCUACUAUUUGGUUACAAUGAAACUAUGGCAGCUCAGUUUUAUACCAUGAUUUAGCAAUUUAAAAGUUAAUUAUAGUUAUUAGAAAUUUACUUUCAUGUGCCAAACCUGUCUAUUUUCAAUAUUUUUCUCAUUUUUGUGUCACUUUUUUUAUUUUCGUUAUUGCUCGAUAUAAAUAUAUAUUUUUGAGUUUAUUCUGAUUUUGUUAUUUU
rnacentral:lncRNA from 1 species